UACAGAGGGUGCGAGCGUUAAUCGGAAUUACUGGGCGUAAAGCGCACGUAGGCGGCUUGGUAUGUCGGGUGUGAAAUCCCCGGGCUCAACCUGGGAACUGCAUCCGAAACUGCCUUGCUAGAGUAUGGAAGAGGGAAGUGGAAUUUCCGGUGUAGCGGUGAAAUGCGUAGAUAUCGGAAGGAACAUCAGUGGCGAAGGCGACUUCCUGGACCAAUACUGACGCUCAGGUGCGAAAGCGUGGGGAGCAAACAGG
rnacentral:rRNA from 1 species